rnacentral:rRNA from 1 species
UAAGGGUCCUGAAGGAACGUUGAAGACGACGACGUUGAUAGGCCGGGUGUGUAAGCGCAGCGAUGCGUUGAGCUAACCGGUACUAAUGAACCGUGAGGCUUAACCUUACAACGCCGAAGGUGUUU